AAUGGAACCUUUUCUUAUCAUUUCAUCAACUUAGUUUCCGGUGAAUGAUUCACAAGCUUCUGUAAUUUUCUUUUGCCGAAGAGGAUCUUUUCAUGCAAUCAGUUCAACCAUUUUUGUCAUCCAGCUAAUGUGCUUAAUUUUCUGUAAUAAUUUGAUUACUAUUAAGUAUGAGACCAUGAUAGUUUAUUAAUGUUUAUGCUCGUAAUCUGAUAUGCUCUGUGUUUGCCAUUCACUUUUUUGCGUUUAGUUAUGUUGAGAUAUGUUGAGAUAUUGUUGAAAUAUUGUAUAGAUAGUGAAUCAUAGAUACUCAUAUAGAAUAGAAAUGCUAUAAUAUCCUUCCUAAACUUAGAUAGGAGUAGUUAAUAGUCUUCCUAAAUUAGCUAUCCUAAUAUCCUAUAUAAUUAUAAUUCUAUUGAACAUGAAAAAAAAACAGAAAAUUAUAUUCUUUCAUGGUAUCAGAGCCUAGCUUUUAAAAUUUCUGUUCCGGCGAAUCGAACCCCCUUUCUCCACUGUUUCUCUGAUCACUGUGCUUCCGUCAUUUUUCCGGUGAUCGUGCCUAUACCAGUGUGAUCAAGAUUCUCUCGCCGACACAUCCGUCAAAGCAACCCUUUCCGGCUGUUUCUCCGAUCACCGUGAUUUCAUCAUUUUCCGGUGAUUGUGCUCACACUGGAGGGAUCGGAAUAGUCUCGCCGUCAAUCCCGUCAAAGUCCCGUUGUCGUUCGCUGCUGAACGCGCCCACACGCGCCGCUUGUCUCCUCGGCAUCUCCGUCGUCGAUCUCCUGUUCCGGCGAACGUGAAACGACACCACCCUCUCAAUCGGACUCAGACGAUACCGGCGAUUCCAUCCGUGGAAACUCCGCGGCCAUCCGACGCCGGAAUAGCUCGCACGCGCUGGCCGUUGUUCGUGCUCCGACUGUGAUCUCCAAUCUGCUUCUCCGGAGAGCGUGCUGCCUCACCGUCGGCACUGUCAGUUACAGAAAGCUCCGGUGAUCCUCCUCCGGCCAUCCACGCGCCGUUCUGUCACUAUUCGCUUCUGUUAUCACCGGAAAUCAAUUUCUGCAGAUCUUUCUCUUCUCUUCAGACUGUGCUGAUUACGAAGAAUAUCUCAAGUAUCAGACAUCGAAACAGUCCUCAUCCAAUAUUGCUUCUAGUGCACAUCCAGGUCACCCAACCAUAUGCUUUACUCAGUCCUCUUCUUAUGGACCGUGGGUUCUCAAUUCUGAUGCUUCUGACCACAUCUCUGGACCGCAGUACGAGACGGACGAUUGGUACAGGACGUGAGUCACAGGGUCUCUAUUUGUAACAAGCUUGGUGCAUAUGAUUUAUAUGCUCCAGCUUGAGGGGGAGUGUUGAGAUAUGUUGAGAUAUUGUUGAGAUAUUGUUGAAAUAUUGUAUAGAUAGUGAAUCAUAGAUACUCAUAUAGAAUAGGAAUGCUAUAA